UACGAGGGGACUAGCGUUGUUCGGAAUCACUGGGCGUAAAGCGCACGUAGGCGGAUUCCUAAGUCGGUGGUGAAAUCCUGGAGCUCAACUCCAGAACUGCCUCCGAUACUGAGAGUCUCCGAGUCCGGGAGAGGUGAGUGGAACUGCGAGUGUAGAGGUGAAAUUCGUAGAUAUUCGCAAGAACACCAGUGGCGAAGGCGGCUCACUGGCCCGGUACUGACGCUGAGGUGCGAAAGCGUGGGGAGCAAACAGG
rnacentral:rRNA from 1 species